GACGAACGCUGGCGGCGUGCUUAACACAUGCAAGUCGAACGGAAAGGCCCUGCUUUUGUGGGGUGCUCGAGUGGCUAACGGGUGAGUAACACGUGAGUAACCUGCCCUUGACUUUGGGAUAACUUCAGGAAACUGGGGCUAAUACCGGAUAGGAGCUCCUGCUGCAUGGUGGGGGUUGGAAAGUUUCGGCGGUUGGGGAUGGACUCGCGGCUUAUCAGCUUGUUGGUGGGGUAGUGGCUUACCAAGGCUUUGACGGGUAGCCGGCCUGAGAGGGUGACCGGCCACAUUGGGACUGAGAUACGGCCCAGACUCCUACGGGAGGCAGCAGUGGGGAAUAUUGCACAAUGGGCGGAAGCCUGAUGCAGCAACGCCGCGUGCGGGAUGACGGCCUUCGGGUUGUAAACCGCUUUCGCCUGUGACGAAGCGUGAGUGACGGUAAUGGGUAAAGAAGCACCGGCUAACUACGUG
rnacentral:rRNA from 1 species